rnacentral:rRNA from 1 species
GAUGAACGCUGGCGGCGUGCCUAAUACAUGCAAGUCGAGCGAACAGACGAGGAGCUUGCUCCUCUGACGUUAGCGGCGGACGGGUGAGUAACACGUGGAUAACCUACCUAUAAGACUGGGAUAACUUCGGGAAACCGGAGCUAAUACCGGAUAAUAUAUUGAACCGCAUGGUUCAAUAGUGAAAGACGGUUUUGCUGUCACUUAUAGAUGGAUCCGCGCCGCAUUAGCUAGUUGGUAAGGUAACGGCUUACCAAGGCAACGAUGCGUAGCCGACCUGAGAGGGUGAUCGGCCACACUGGAACUGAGACACGGUCCAAACUCCUACGGGAGGCAGCAGUAGGGAAUCUUCCGCAAUGGGCGAAAGCUUGACGGAGCAACGCCGCGUGAGUGAUGAAGGUCUUCGGAUCGUAAAACUCUGUUAUUAGGGAAGAACAAAUGUGUAAGUAACUAUGCACGUCUUGACGGUACCUAAUCAGAAAGCCACGGCUAACUACGUG